AGAACCGGAGGUAAUGCAGAGGAGGCCAUCAACAGGUCACGUUGGAGGAGGAAGGCAUGGGCUCGGGGCAGGUGGUGGGGAUUGUGAUUGGUGCUCUGAUUGCUGUCAUUGUGGUCAUCGCGGUUAUCGUGGUGGUGGUGCGAAGGAUGGGCCAGUACUCGGCCGCUAAGAAACGCAAGCCAGAGAAAAAAGACAGCAUCUUGAUUUCUCCCUUGAGGAGGAAGGCAGCUCGACAGGAACCUCCUCCAAAGAAGUUCUGGAUUUUCUGAACUACUGAAUGACGUCACUUCCUGUCGAAUAUCUAAGCAUGCUACAAGCACUCUAACACUUCCAGGAUCCUGGACUAUCGCCAAACGGAGGAGGCAGACCCCCCCUCUCUCCCCCCCGCCCUAGAGCCAUUGAAAUGGACAGCUCU